UGGAUUGAGACACGUACAAACCUUAUCGAUAAACAAUUGGAGGGCAAGUCUGGUGCCAGCAGCCGCGGUAAUUCCAGCUCCAAUAGCGUAUAUUAACGUUGUUGCAGUUAAAAAGCUCGUAGUUGAAAUGAAGGGUAGUUGUGUAAUGAAUACAUUCGUGUAUUUUGUUAUUCUACUACCCUCCUUCUAAAUUCGAUAUAUGAGUAUUAAUUUACUUGUAUAUGGUUUUAGACUUUUACUGUGAGAAAAUUAGAGUGUUCAAAGCAGGCAUUUGCUUGAAUAUAUUAGCAUGGAAUAAUCAUGUAUGAUUUUCAUGAUGUAUUUGAUUGGUUUGGUUCAUGAGAAUAAGAUUAAAAGGGACAGUUGGGGGUAUUCAUAUUCAAUAGUCAGAGGUGAAAUUCUCGGAUUUAUGGAAGAUGAACAAGUGCGAAAGCAUUUACCAAGGAUGUUUUCAUUAAUCAAGAACGAAAGUUAGGGGAUCGAAGAGGAUUAGAUACC
rnacentral:rRNA from 1 species